UACGUAGGGACCAAGCGUUGUUCGGGUUUACUGGGCGUAAAGGGCGCGUAGGCGGCAUGACAAGUCACUUGUGAAAUCUCUGGGCUUGACCCAGAACGGCCAAGUGAUACUGUCGCGCUAGAGUGCGGAAGGGGCAAUCGGAAUUCUCGGUGUAGCGGUGAAAUGCGUAGAUAUCGAGAGGAACACCUGAGGUGAAGACGGGUUGCUGGGCCGACACUGACGCUGAGUGCGCGAAAGCCAGGGGAGCAAACGGG
rnacentral:rRNA from 1 species